AAAUUUUUUUUUUUUUUUUUUUUUUUUUUUUUUUUUUUUUACAAUCCGGCCAGUUUUUUAGCCGGAUUUCAAGCCGGAUUUUCGGGCCGGAUUCUGUCCAGAAUGCUCGAAAAAUUUUCUUUUCUCCCUGACUAUCCGGCCUUCAAUCCGGCCAACAUUUGGCCGGAUUUGCUGCAGAAAAAGCUAUUUUCGGCAGUUUUUCCUCCAAAUUUGCUUGGCCAACCUUCCACAUUCAACCUACUUCAUGUUCUUUGAAUAAAAUUCAAAUUUAACAUGAUCAUGCAUGAAUAUAACUUAAACAUGAAACACUUUAAAUGCAUGAAAUGCAGCAAUUGAAUAUGAAAACUCCCUUUUUGCCUUAAUAUAAACACCUUUGCAAUUGAGAUCAUUUGCAUGAACUCUUGCCAUUGCCACCUACAAAACACACAAAAACAUUAAUCGAACAACUAAAACUUACUAAAAACAAGCCAACAUGAAGAAAAGUGGAGUUGAAAAGUGAUCCAAGCCUUCGUUUUAAACAAGAUCCGAGGUCGUUUUUGAAAGGAUCCGAGGUCGGAUCAUGUGAGUGAGCUCGGAUCAAGAAGUUCGAAUUUUUUCUGAUUGCAGAAGUGGAUCCGAGGCCUUGGAUCCAUUGAAUCUGCACUUAUUGCAGAAUUUUUGCAAUUUUUCAGUUUGACCUCAAUUUUCAAAAUACACCCUAGAUCAUUUCUAUGUCAAAAUAAACCAUUCACGCACAUGUAAAAUGAUCUAAACAUGCAUUCUAAACCUCUUUAAUGCAUCAAAAACCAUAAUUACUGAAUUUGAGGUAUUGAGAUCUUUGAUCAAACUUCACCUUUUCACCUCAUUUGGUCACUUUUUCAAAACCUACAAAUGAAAAACAACAAAAUUACUCAAACUUAUACUUUAAACAUAAAAUCACUCCAAAGUAACACCAACUUAAACAAGCAUUGGGUUGCCUCCCAAUAAGCGCUUCUUUAAAGUCAAUAGCUUGACUAUAUCACCUCAUUUUUCAAGGAGGCUUAGUUAACGAAUAAUCCACCAUUUUAGGCCGUGGUGGAUCAUUAAAAGGUGACUUAAUAGCAAAAGCCACAUGAUCUAAUGAUGUGAGAAAUGGAAGUGACUUACCUAUCCAAGUGGUUCAUAGAUAUUACCUUGAAUAUGCACCACUUGAGAAUUUACCAAAGGAAUGCCAUGAGAGUAUCUUGAGCAGGAAUACCUUUAGAACCUAUACUUUCAAUGCACUCCUCAAGAGGGGUGAAAAAUGAGUCAUUAAAACUCACCUCUUGAGGUUCAAAGUUAGUUCCAAAGAUAUUAUCAUGUGAAAUGGAUAUUUGCUCAUUAAAACACUCUUGAGAUUCAUCAUUUUCAUCAAAAUGCAACCCAUUUUCACAUACAACAUUCCCACCAUUCAUGCUAGGAUCAUUUUGCACAUCAUUAGAAGAAAUAACUUUACACAAUGCGUGUAAUUUCUCAUGUAUUCUACUAAAGUGAGAAGUCAGUUCAUCUAUUCUUUCUUCAACCCUAUCAAAAUGGUCGGAAGUUGCAUUAGCUAAUUUUUCUAAAGCUAACUCCCAAGAUGGCUUAGAAUCAUUAGCUACCAUUUCAAUUGCCAACUCCCAAGAUGGUUUUGGUUCAUAUUGGACACAUUCAGGUUGGUAAUCAUAAAAAUGUGAAGAAUUACUAUAAGUAAAUUGAUUAUCCCAACCAUAAGCAGGAGAAUUGCUCCAAUUAGCACUAUAUUGAUCAAAACAGGAUUGUAAUGCUCUAAUUCAUCAUAAUAAUCCACAUUUUGUACUUGCAUACAUGUAUUAGUAGCAUGAUAACUUCCACACAAGUCACAAAUCACAUGAUAAGAAUUAAAAGCAUUAGCAUUCCUCCCUUGCUCAAUUUCAUGCAUAAUUGCGUCCAUUUGAACUUGUAACAUCAUAACAUCAAAUUUAGCCUUUAAGCACCUUAAACCAUCUUCAAAAGAUAUACAUUCAGUAAAUUCUUGGUUACCUCUGUUGAAGGAGCUUUGCACUUGGUAACCAUCCAUUUCCAAUCUUCCACUUCUCAAGCAUUGUCCUCCAAAUUGACCUAUCCUUCUCAUCACCUAAAAUUGCCUUUAAACAACUUAAGAGCAAAAUUAGUAAGAAGAAUAGGUGAUAAAACACAUACACAUAUAAAACACAGAAAAUAACAUUCACAGUAUAACUAAUAAUAUGUCUAAACUAAUAAAGUUGCUCUUCACACCGAUAUUGCCAAAUCUUCCCCGGCAACGGUGCCAAAAACUUGACGUGUGCAGGGUAUACAUAUCAAUUUAACCUCAUUCUAAUCAAGUUUUACAUUUAUAAACUCCUAAACACCCCACACGCGCGAUUUAUCGCAAGUAUACGAAUCGUGAGCGAGUAUAGGGUAUUAAGGGUCGAUCCCACAAGGAAGAUUGCAAUUACCGGUACUACUAAAGCUUCUCUAUUAUUUAGACUAUCAAUGAAUUAUAACAAACUUUACCUACUCAAAUUAUACAAAAUAACAAAUAAAAGCUCCUUAGGUUGUGGUAUCCCUAACUACUCAUGCAAGUGCUAUAUUUGGAUCAUUAAUUACUACAUUUAGGCUAAUUAUGGUGUAAUUUCCUUAUGCAUUUGAAUCCUACUUUCGUAGUGAAUCAAUUAUACCUAUAACUAAUCCAUACCUAUUUUCAUGGUUAUGAAAUUAGCUACAAGUUCAUUUCUUCAAUGAAAUUACAUGAUAUGAAUCACUAAAAACCACAUAAGUGCACCUCUACUUUCGUGAGUGUACUCCUUAUGUUUAGCACUUCUUGAACUAGUGUUAAAUCUCAAUUUUCAUUGCAAAAACAACACCUUAGAUCAUCACAAUCAAUGGUACCAGAUUAAUCAUGAUUUAAGAAGCCAAAGUGCUAAAUAACUUGCUCAAAUCAUAGCAAUCAAAUAACCAAAUAAUAAACACUAACAAUCAUAGAAAGUUCAACCAAACCCAAGGUAUAAACUUUAAAAACACAUAUUAAACACAAAAUCCAGAACUUGUAUAUUAACUAAACUUGGAAUCAAAUACAAAGAUAAAGAGUUUGGAAGGAAUACAACCCUUGUCACAUGAGCUUUCUUCCUUGCCUUCUUCAUCCUCCAUCUUCAUCCUAAUCUAGAUAAUAAACAAGAAUGGAUGAACUAUACUACUCUAUACUAAACUAAACUAAUACUAGGAAGAUGAAAGAGCUACAUUUCUGCAGACUCCAAGCUUCUCCCGUAUGUCUCUCUAUCUCUUACUCUCUCAUCCCCUUGCUCUCUCUUUUUGCAAUGAAUUUGGCUAUUUAAUGAUGAAAGGUGGUCAAGAAAUGAAGCUUUACACUUUCCCCUUACAGCUGGUAAUGUCUCUCACAUGUCUAGCAUCACAUGUGAGUUGGUGGAGGUGAAAUUGAGUUUUACGCGUAUAAAGCAGCCUUUUCUGACCAGUGAUCCGAGCUUCUACAGUGCCUCGUAUCCGUAUGGAUCCGAGCUCGGUUCCACUAACCCAGAAACAGCCGAGGGUUCGGAUGAAUAGUGGAUCCGAGUGUGGAUCACUUGCUCUGUUUUUGGUCCAACUUCAACCGAUCGUUUCUUGAUGUUAGAGGCUGAACCAGCUCAUGCCUAAAACACGAAAGUUGUAGCCUUUUAAUUUAUCUUUCCAAUGCAUCAAGAAUCACCUCAUUUGGAUCUGUGUAGGCUGAGAUAUGACUGAAAUACCCUUGCCUGCUCCAUGCCUUGUUCAGUUUUGACCAAUAUCAAUUAACUCUGUACUUCGGCUUUUUGACCUGGAAAACCUUCAAACUGGAUUCGGAUGUCUUCACCAAAGUUGUAGAUCUAUCUCUUAUCUUCAAAUGGGUUCAAGAAUCAUCCCAAUCCGAUCAUUGUAGCUCAAGUUAUAGCCGAAAUACGAAAAUGUGUCAAAACUGUCAAAAUACACAAAAUCCAAGUAAAAAGUGAUAAAAACCUCAUUUAAUUGAACAAAAGCAUUUUAUACCAGUUAUAGCCAAAAUGAAUCAUUUUCUUCCAAUAAUAUACCCAAAGUGACUAAAAAUAAUAUAAAAUAUCAUACAAUUAUUACGUAAAUUAGUCACUUAUCACCUUGCUUAAAAGCAAUGCACUUGUGGCCGAUAAAACGUUAUCUCAUACCUUUAUAGGUUGGAAGGGCAUAAGGAACAUUUGAAGUUUCAAACGGAAGAGAUAUCAUGUCUUAAAAGGUUAAAACAGUCACAAUAUUCGCCUUGCGGAAAUAUACAAGUGUAACUAGAACUUAGCCCUCGAAUCCCUAUUUAAAAGACCCAAUGAAAUUCUCAAGGAAAGACACCCAACUUGAUACAAAAUACAUUUCCAAAAACCACUUUAACUCAUUCAAUUUUCAAGAAAAUAAAUGGACGGCAUAUCCCCUUAAAUUUUACAUUUUCACCCUAUAAUACAAAACCCACAACUCAUAGCAAUUAUCCACCAUCACACAUAUACAUUAACAAACAAUAAAACGUACCCAAUUAAGCCAUAAAACCCCUCAAAUAAAGCUAAUUAAAAGCUCCAAAUCAACUAUAAGAAAAACCCCCAAACUAACCCUAGAAACCGGAAAUUCACAUCAAAAGCGGAAAUUUUCCGCAAACAACCGCAAUAAACAUAUAAAGGUUCCAUUUAACACCAUAACAAUCCAUUAAUUCAAGUCCAAUCCAUGACUUUCAUAUAAAAUCAAAUAAAUCCUAAAUAAAUUAGAAAAUGGUCCAACUUGACCUAAACUCAAGAAAUCAUUCACAAUAAAGUAUCUCUAACCUUCAUAAGCCAUCAAUAUACCAUUAAUCAAUCAAAACAAUAACUUCCUUAACAACUCACCUUGAAACAACUCAAGCAAAAGUAGAACUUAAACUUACUUCACUCCAAAAUUAACUCCACAAUCACCUUCAAACCCCUUAGUCAACACUUGUACGGAGUGAAUUAAAAAUCAAACGGUGAAAACUCAAGAUCAAAGAGAAAAUUGAAACUAGAAUUUGAAGAGCUUUCUUUCUUUUCCUCUCAAGCUAGCCGGCUGAACAAGGGAAGCAAAUGAAGAUAUUUUGCAGCCAAAAGUGAUAAAUAUAGAAGAAAACAGCCGGUCAAAGCUACUGACCGGCUGUGCCACGUCAGAAUCCGGCCGAUUUCUGGCCGGAUUCCUGGCCGGAUUCAAGGCAGUAGCUAACUCGUUUUUUUUUCAAAAUCCCCCAACAAUCCGGCCAGCAAUCCGGCCAAGAACUGGCCGGAUUUCCGGCCGGAUCCGGCCCUUCCACUUUUUACAAAAUUUUUUCUCCUUUUCCCAAAUCAAUUGCCACGCUCAAACGCACUUCCAACACGUACACAUAUAUACAUCUCUCACACACAAAGACACGUAUCAAGAAAACCUUCCUUUGUUCAAACCAAUGGUUAACAAAUUUCACUUAAAGGAGGAAGCGAGAAUAAACUAAAAGUCUGGGAAAAUGUGACGGGUUUAGGGUUCUCACACUUUUUAUUAAUGGAAUAAGAAAUUUAUGCCAGAUUUAUCCUUUGUACUACAUGCCAAGUAGUAUUAGCAAAGGAAUAACAAAGUACUACAAAGUAAUUAACAAAAUAGCCUUCAGGGAGUGUAGUUUAUGGGCAAAUGAGCAUUAUCUAUUCAAAAUACCAACUUUUUAUGGGCAUUUUACUCUCAAACAUAUAAUUUAUGAUAAAUUUACAAAUGUUUGUAAGUAAAAUUCAAAAAGUGUUACACAGAUUUCUUACAAAACGAAAACUGGCAGGUUAUCUUUUCAACAUAAAUUAAAUUUUUUUAAAAAAAGAAAUGGCCCAUAAAGUACCAACUCUUUGUGGGUUUCCUUCAUUACAUGAACAAAUAUUCUGCUCUUUAUGGGCAUUUCACUCUGAAUCAUUUAAUUUAUGUUAAAUACAUAAAUGUUUGUAAGUAAAAUUCAAAAAGUGUUGCACUAAUAUUUUUAUGAAAGGGAAAUUGGUAGGUUUUGUAUUUAACAUAAAUUAAAUAUGUGAAAGCAAAAAAAAAAAAAAGAAAUUACCCAUAAAUCUAUGUCUUGCAAAUCUAUACUAGUAAAAUAGUUUCAAACACAAUUAAACAUUAAAAUAAACUGUAAUUUAUACACAUUAAAAUAUCUGUAAUUUAUACACAUUUUGCAACUACUACUUUGUGUUUUCUCUGUAAUGAAUUUUUUAACUAUUGAGAACUUAAGUUUUGUCUUGCAAAUCUAUACUAGUACAAUAGUUUUAAACAAAAUUAAACAUUAAAAUAAAUGUUUGAAAAAGAACAAAAGUACAUUUAUCACUUGCAGUAAUGUAACAAAAUUUUCUCAACCAUUAUCAAUAUUUUCACAAAAGUAUUAAAAACUAGCAAUUUAAUUAGUGACGACUUUUCUUGUCAUUAUAAUCUUGAAUAAAUUAGUGAUAACAUUAUGUCAUCACUAAAUUUUCUUUGAUUUUGACUUAACAAUAAUGUCUUAUUAAUAGCAUUUGAUUAUUUUUAAUGAAAGUCUGUUAUAACCAUAGAAUUUGACUUUCGUUAUUUUCAAUUAAUGAUGUACUUUAGUGCUGCAAUUAUAAAAAAUUGCAGGGCUAAAAUAUUUGCAAAUUAUAAAAGUAUAUUUUCACUUAUAUGUAAUUAACAAAUUUUGCCACCUAUAUUGAUGAAAAUUUGUGUUUUUGUACUAAAAAAUAAAGAAUAAUACUAUAGCAAUAAAAUCUAUGCUUCAAACCAAAUUAAAAAUAAAAAAAAGCAUGAUGUUUGGUCUCAAAUGUUGGGAAAAUGAUUAUUUUUAUUGAAACUAUGUUAUAACCAUAUAAUUUGAGUUUAAUUAUUUUCAAUUACAUGAUGUUCUUUAGUGCUGCAAUUAUAAGAAAUUAGUAUAAAAUAUUAGCAAAUUAUAAAAGUACAUUUUCAAUUAUAUGAAAUUAACAAAUUUUGCCACCUAUGUUGAUGAAAAUUUUUAUUUUUUGCUAAAAAAUAAAGAAUAAUACUAUAGCAUUAAAAUCUAUGGUUCAAACCAUAUUACAAAUCCAGAAAAAAACUUGAUUUUUGGUAUCAAAUGGAGGGAAAAUGAGUGAAGUCAAAAUUUUGAUCAAAUCAUAGUGAAAGUGCCGCGCAACAAAAACAAUAUCCAAAGCAAAGCAAAGACCAAAGCAACGGAACACAUUCUGAAAACAAAAGCAACGGAACACUUGGUCUGAGUUAAAGCAACGGAACACUUGAGCAACACAAAAACUUUCACCGAGCUGAAACAAACAAGCUUCUGCACUGAGCACAAACAGAGCUUCCGCAGGGCACCUGAUACUUUCACCCACACAACAAAUCCGUUCUCUAGCUUCUCACUAGCAUCACCAUGGCUGUCCAGCAUUAAAGGGCAAGGUUUUCAUUGGAAAGGUUCGUUUUCUCUCUCCUAUACAUUUUCCCCAAUUUUCCAAAUCCCUAAUAUUCUACAAUAUUUUUUGCAAAUUUCUGCCCAAAAUCUUUUAGUAGCUCUUGAUUAUUAGAUGCUAUCAUAGCUAUGUUGUUAUUUACUUGAUCAUUUUCUCCAAUUGCUUUAUGGCCCUAAUUUUGAUAAUAGCUUUUGGCAUAUCCUCUAGUUUUGACGAAGUUUUAUGCUAAUGUUGUUCGUCUCAAAUCUUCAAGUGAUGAAUAGAUGAUGAACUGGAGCGGGAUUCAACCAAAUCACUGAUUUGUGAGUUUUUACAGGACCAGUGAAAUUCCAGCCAGUACCGUAUAAUGAGACAUUGACCGAGUUGGUGACAAAUCCUUAUUCUUGGACCAAGGUACACAAUAAUUGAGUUCUUUUUUCUUUAAGUUAUUUUUGUAAGGCAAACAGAGGUUUAAAUUGACAGGGUAUAUCAUAGCUCACAGAAGUGUUUCAUUUGUGUAAUUUCCAAGAUUUAAGAACCUAAUUGAGUGCAAGGUUCAAAAUAAUUUGUUAUCAUUUGUUAGGUUGCAAGCACCGGCGGGAACUGGCUUUUCUUAUGCCAGGACUGCUAAAGCUUCUCAGUCUACAGAUUUGCAAGCUUCUGAACACAACUAUGAAUUUCUUAGGAAGGUACACAUGUACCGUUACUCAGCUAAUUAAUGAAUCAGAAGGCUUUGUGUUCAUAUAUGCUAGCAAAUUUGUAUGGAUGUCACAGAUACAAUACAUCCAAACCUGGUAGUUUUAUGGAAAAAUUGAUCCUUAAAACGAACUAGAAAACUGCUAUAUUUGUCGACAAACCAUUUUUAGCAAAUUGAUCAUUGGUUUAUAGUCUCACUAAUUCUUUUCCUUUUGUAUCUAGGAUUCUGCAUAACUCUAACCCAACAAAUCUGCCUCCAUUAUGGGGUGUGCGGAAUAGAAAAUUUUAUAUCGGUCCGAAACAACUAGUAGGCAUGCUUAGUAGUUGUUUCUAGACCAAUGAAAAAGUUGCACAUGAAUAUAUAAGGGUCUCACUUGAUUUAAUUUAGCAUUUAAGUGGAUUUUUUCUAGUAUAUGUAAAAAUCAAAGAAAGAUAGAAGUGAACAGGGAUGGGUUUUUUUCCUCUUUUCCUCUCCCAAAAUUUCCUACCCAAAGUUUAUUUCUUUUUCCAUUUUCGCCUGCUUUCUUUGUUUAAAAGGAAAAUGGAAGUGCCACCAUUUUGUUCCUACAGAGUUGCGUCCUUAAGAAUCAGUUCCAAUGACUUGGUACAGCAUGAAUAUGGUUGCAAAGGGAAAACUCUUUGAUACUUAAUAGUAGUAAAAGACCAAACCAAAAAUAGGAAACAAAAGAAAAUAAGAGUUUAGAUCUAUAAAUAUUCAAUGCACUUAUGAUGAUGUGGUAAAUUGUGGACUGCUUCACCUACAGGCCCACCCAUAGACCUAGCCUACACAAAAAACAAAGCUAAACUGUCAACCAUAGCUCAUUUAUUAGUAAAAAACUCAUAGGAGGAUAUGAUAAACAUUAAAUCUGAAGACUUAAUUCCUACCACUAAUUAUACAAGACAUUAGUGGCUUACCAUAUAAUUGGGGAUAUUCUUGAUAAACAGGGUUGGUGACAAAAGCACUGGACAUUUUCUCCCAGUUGCAUUUCAGACCAGAUAUAAGGAGGUUCUUGUAAAGGCACAUACUGCUGCAUCUGGAGCGGUGCUAAGAUUGCAAAUAGCUCCUAUUCUUGAGUGGUCUGAGUUUCAGGUACUGUUCCUUCUUACCAUUAUUCAGGCUUGAAAUUUAUAUUUGUGCUUUACUCUUCUAUUAUUUCUGCGUUGGGCAUCUUCCCUUUACAAAUAUAUGAUGCCUGAUCCUAUGUUUUUUGAACAUGUAGUGUGCUGUUAGCUAGCAAAAUCAGCCUAUGAAAUUGAUUAUUCAUGUUAUAGCUUUAUCUUUUGUUUGCCAAACUUUUGCAUGUAUACUGUGGCUGCAGAUUCUAUUUAGUUUGUUGCCUUACUAAUGCAUUUGUACUUGAGAUGGUUGAUUUUUGCUAAAAAUGUGUUUUACACUUUGGAUCCCAUUGCUGGUAUUUGAGGAGUUUAAAUUUAGUUCAUAUUACAUUGCAUUUGUUUUCUAUAUAAUGUGGCGGUCAUAUUCUUUAUGGUAGGAUAAAGGGCUGCAACAAUAUGGAUAGGAGUUGGAUGUCUAUUAAGAACUACCUAGACCCCAAGUAUUUAGAUGGAGUUGAUGAAUUUAUUAAGUUUGCUUUUCUAGGCAAGGAUCCUAAUUAUAAACUGCCAUGUCCUUGCAAAGUAUGCAAUAAUUUUGAGGAUCAAACUAAGGAAAUCAUGGCCAAUCACUUGUGUCGAGGAAUUGUUGAUAGUUAUACCAGGUGGAUAUAUUAUGGCGAAGGGUUUGAAUCUGAUGAUGAGAAUGAUGACAUAGAAAUAAAUGACAACGAUAGUGACUUUGACGAUAGUGACUUUGUGUAGUUUAUGGUUAUGGUUAUGGGGCUGAUGGUUGUGUAAUAACAUUUUUUGGGGCUGAUGUUAUGCAUUAUUGUUAUCUGAACUUAUUCUUUGGGAAAUAUCUUGGUAUCAUGUAUAUAGUGCUGUUAGUUUAUCAAUAUAGAGGUAAAAAUCUGAUUGUUCAUCUGCAAUAGUAUAUUAUUUCCAAGUACAAGCGACAGACCAUGCAUGGAUAGCAAUCUUCUUUUUGCCUAUGUAGUGACUUGAAAGAAAUGAAUAUAAUGCAAAGGGGCGUUUGUGAACUUUGAUUGGUUUCACCUAUUUAGAUGGUCUUCACUUUCACAUUGUGAGGCAAAUAGCUCAUUCUCUUUGCACAGUUUAAUCCUACAGAGGCAUUGUUUCCUUCGUGAUUUAUGAAGCAUAAAUUCCUAAAAUCAAAGAGGGCUAGUACCUCCUGUAUUCACACCUCGUACAAUAAGUUGCUUUCUGUGUUUUAAUAUAUAAACAACCAAAAGCAAAAGAUUAAACAAUAAUUACUGUGGGAGUCCAAUUUAAUUGUUCAAUAAGUUGAGCUAUUUAAAGAAGAAGAAGAAAAUAAAAAAAAAACUGUUUUAGAGAGCUCUUUAGUUGAGCUUAUGCAGUGUUGUAUUUGUAUAGAUUGGACUGUGAUUUCUAACUUCUUGCUGGUGUUGUAAUAUGUGGGCCCAAAUUAUAUGAGGUUUAAUGAAUUGUAAUUUUUGUCUUAAUAAUCUAAGUCUCAUUACUUGUUCUUUAUUAUUGUACUCCUCCCCUUACCUACUUCUUUUACUCUUUUAUGACAGAUAAAUGCUAUUCAUAUUAGCUUUUGGAAGAUAUCUAUGGUUAUGGUUGAAGAAUGUUGAAGACAAAAUUGCCUUUUGCUCAUGGAGUGGUUCAUUUAGAUGUUCUUCAAUUUCUUAAACUGUGAUUGCUUUUGUAAAUGUACCUUAUGUACAAGUGAUAUUUUGGACAAAUGUUAUUUUUGUAGGCAUUAGUUGGGUAAUGUACACUUGAAUUUGGCAUUUGAGAAUGCUAUAUUAUUACCAUGUAAUCUAAUGCAAAUACUUUUGGUUAUCAAUCGUUCAUGUUUAUUUGUAUGGUUUGUUUAAAAUCAAUGAUUUAGCAAUGAUUACAGGCCAAAUUAUGACUAUUAAGCUAUUGAGAAAUUAUCUAAUGACAAAAAAAGUUGUCACAAAAUAGAAAAUAAAAACUCCUUGUCACAACAGAGACUGUCACUAAAUCUAAGCUACAUUUGUGACGACAAUUGUUGUCAGUAAAAUAGUUAUAUACAAUGGUUUUCGGUGCUUUUUAGUGGCGACCUUAAGUAGAGCAUUUUUGACAAAAGAUCAAUUCGUCAAUAAAACACUUCCGGAUUGUUGUCACUAAUGACAACUAUUUAGUGACGACAUUUCAGGUCGUCACUAAAUAGUUGUCAUUAGUGACAACAAUUGGAAGUGUUUUAUGACGACUUAUCUUUUGUCAAAAAUGCUCUACUUAAAGUCGUCACUAAUGAAAACUAUUUUAUGUCGUCACUGUUUACUUUUACCGACGGGGAUUUAGUGACGACUUUGUGACGAUCAAAAAGUCGUCAAUAAAAUGUAUUUGUGACGAUAUUUGUAUGUUCUGUGAUGACUUUGUGUUGUCACUGAUGAACAAUUUUUUGUAGUGAUAGCUAGAAACACAAGUUCAUUAGUACAGAAAGUGCACUUCUUGACAUUAGCAUAGAGGCUUGCCUUUCGAAGUGUCUCAAGUACCAAUCUAAGAUGCUCCAUAUGCUCAUGCAUGUUUCGACUAUAUAUCAAGAUAUCAUCAAAGUAAACAAUGAUAAAUUUUCCUAUAAAUUGCCUUAAAACAUGGUUCAUCAAUCUCAUGAAAGUGCUAGGGACAUUAGUCAACCCAAAAGACUUGACUAACCACUCAUAAAGUCCAUGUUUUGUUUUGAAAACUGUUUUUCACUCAUCUCCCUUUUUCAUCCUAAUUUGAUGAUAGCCACUUCUCAAAUCAAUUUUAGUAAAAAUGACAGCAUCAUCAAGUUCAUCAAGCAUAUCACUAAUCUAGGAAUGGGAUGACGGUAUUUAACAGUUAUAGCAUUAACUGCUCUAUAGUCAGUGCACAUACGCCAAGUACCAUUCUUUUUUGAAAAAAGUAUAAUAGGCACAACACAAGGACUCAAACUUUCUUUUACCUAACCCUUACUUAGUAGACCAUCAACUUGCCUUUGGAACUCCUUAGUUUCUUCGGGACCCAUGCGGUAGGCGAGUUUGUUGGGUAAUGGUGCUCCAGGAAUGAGAUCGAUUUGGUGCUUCAUCCCUCGAAUGGGUGGUAAGCCAUCAGGGACCUCAUAAGGGAAUAUGUCCUUGAAUUCCUGCAACAGUGCAACCACACUCGAAGGCAAUGCCUUAUCGAACUCAUCAACAUUCAAAAGGACAUGUUUGCAGAUCAUGAGUAACACAGGCUGAUCAGAAUAUACAAUCUUUCUAAUAUCCUUAGCCUUGAUUAUCAUGUUUUGCUUUCCAGUGUUGAAUUUAAUUAAUGCAUGAUCAUGUGGGACACUAGGGAUACCGACUUGAGCCUUGACCGAAUGCUCACUUGUUGAAGUGGAGCAAUUCCCAGAUUCGGCCGUCCUUUGUUUUCUCUUUUGACGGUCUAAGUCACACUCCCUUUGCAACUUAAAUUGGUCUCAUAUACUUGUGCAGGUAUGAGAAGUGUUAGGACCAUACGUUUACAUUGUGCAAUAGAAUGUACUUAUUGGAUCUACCAUCAAAUGUAACAUACUUAUUAAAUUGCCAAGGUCUUCCUAAAAUGGCAUGAGUAGCAUGCAUAGGGACAACAUCGCACACAACUUCAUCAAUGUAAUUGCCAAUUGAAAAAGGAAGGCGUACCUGUUUGUAGACACGCACCUCUCCAUCCUCACUUAGCCAUUGUAAUUGGUGCGGGUGUGGAUGUUUAGUCGUAAGAAGUCCCAAACUUUCCACUAUUAGCAAGCUUGCCACGUUGGUGCAACUUUCUCCAUUAAUGAUGAGACUGCAUACUUUGUCACUUACUUUAGAUCGAGUAUAAAAUAAGUUUUUCCUUUGUAAAUGCUCAUCCUCCUUGACUCAGGUGGUGAGCACUCGUCGUACCACCAAACAACCAAUUUCUCCUUGAGUAGGAAAGCACUCUUCCUCGAUCGAGUCAUUCUCCAAACAAUCAUCUUUGGUCAAGCCGGGCAUCUCCUCACAAUCAUCGUCAUCGGAUACGAUUUUUCGUUGUGAGUUACUAAUAUGAUCCUUUGAUUUGGACAUUGGGAUUGGAUAUGUACAAAUCCUUGGCAUUUGAAGCAUUUGAUAUCUCUACUCCUAGACUUAGGAGUCUCUUGAGUGGUCUUAGAAGUGGACCUUGAUGCAUCAAGAAAUUUGUUAGGGGUAGAAUGAAAAUUUCGGCUAGGGACAUUAUCUUGUGUUCGGCCAGUGGUAAAUGGUGUAGCCGAAUGUCUAGCUUCAUGUGAUGUCCUCCGCGGUUGACUUCCCUUCCACGCAUUCGGAUUUAGGGGUUGAUAGCUUCGGCCACCCCUCCUCAACUGCUUACCCCUUUCGACCUUAAUAGCUAACUCAAGAAGGUCACUCAUAUCCAAGUAGUGUUGAAGUUCCAAAACUUCUUGAAGGUCAGGGUUUAGACUUCUAAGAAACCUCGCUAUUGUGGCCUCACUUUCUUCUUGGAUAUUAGCCCUCAUCACGGCCAUCUCGAUCUCCUUGUAAUAGUCCUCCACACUCAUAUUGUUUUGAGUGAGGGUUUGUAGCUUUGAAUGGAGAUCACGGUUAUAGUAGCGUGAAACAAACCACUUACACAUCAUGGGCUUGAGUUCAAGCCAAGUUCGGACUCGCGGUUCAUAUUCCUCCUCCUACUAGUCUGUACUUGAUCCCACCACAUAAGUGCAUAGUCGGUGAACUCAACAGUGGCAACCUUCACCUUUUGUUCCUCGCUAUAGUCAUGGUAAUCGAAAACCAUCUCAAUGCGGCCUUCUCAUUCCAAGUAAGUCUCAGGGUCACUUUUCUCUUGAAAAGUAGGAACUUGGAUUUUAAGUCCCUUAAGCUCAUUGUUAGAAGUGUCCCUUUUAGGCUCUCGACCCUUUCCUCGUCCUCACUAGCCGAGUAAUCUGCAUAAUUUGCCCUUUGGUGCUAUGGUUACUUCGGUUAUGAGAUCUAGACCGAGAGCCUCUCGUGAGACUCUUGGAGAGUUCAUCAAAGUGGUUGUGCAAUUCCUCCAUUGAUUGAUGACUAAUCCGCUUGAGUUCGGAUUUCAUAGCAUUGAACAUCAAGGUGUAGUUGGAGGUUGGAUGAGCUUGCUCCAUGUCUCUUGUUUUGCCCUACAAAAGGUUAGUGACAAGAAAAUAAUGCAAAUAUAACCUCACUUUACUCCCUUAGUAUGUCAUUCACUCUCGUAUUUUCACUCCAAAGCACUCUAAAUGUCUUACCAAAAGUUCUUACCUGGCUGGCUCGGAUUAGUUGAGAAAUGCCGCACAACAAUCCAAAAAUUGUUCCCCAAACUUUCCACAAGAGUAACCAAGAAGUGAGACACAAUUUGGAAGCAAAUGGGAUGCGGAAGUGUAUGGAAGGUGGCGGACAGAUUUGGAAAGGGCCGCUAGUGUGAAAAGGGAAAUGCAUAAAAACCCUAGUUUCCUAAUUUGGAACGACUUAUGCAAGUGGGAUUAGGAGAGUUAUCCAAGCUGUCCUUUUAGUUUCCUAAUGAAUUUGGAAACAAGUUAAUUUUUGGAAACCUUUAGAAAACCCUUUUCUUCUUGAAACAACUUUUAGGAACUUCCAAAUUCUAUUCCUAUAAGGACUUCAUAAAUCAGAUUUUGUUUCUUUUCCCAAAACAUUUCACUCAAGUCGGUUGGAAGGUUGGCUAUUAAAGCCCCUCCUACGCGAGCCUUCACUUGCAAACGCACAAGACCAAGCUCGGAUUUUCUGGUCAAGUACCCAAGGCAGUUUCAGUUUUCGCUCAAGACAAUGGAAUCUCAAUAAGGUGGUGCACACAACCCUCCUCAGGCUCCCCCUCAAUGGGUUACCCAAGAUGUUCCCAAGAAGGAAGCAAGAACUCCAAGACAACCCUUCACCAAUGCUCGGGAAUACAAGAAGAUGUUCACUAGGCGGAAAAGACAAGUUUUCCAAGAAUCAAGAUGUUCAAGAGCUCCAAGAAGUAGUAGAUCUGUGACGCCCCGAGAGAAUGAAUGUGAGAACCCGAAAAUUUUUAUAUAUUUUCGAGACAUUAUUUUGUUUCCUUGUCUAUAAUUUUAUGUGUGAGGACUUGCAAAUUCCUUAUUUUUUCCCCAAAAAUACCCUAUUAUUUGAAAAUUAUUUAUUUAUUAUAGCCGCACUACCCAAUCAUUCCACAAUAAGUGCAAAUGAACUAGAAAGUAGGGUUUCACUUUUCGUUUUCAAGUUGGAGCAAGUUAGGGUUUUUGCGUUUUCCAUAGGAUGAUUUUUCCGGUACAGAACGAGGAUCAAAUUUGGUGCUCAAGAGUGACUUUUAGGUGAGAAAUAAUAUGUGAUUAGGAGCAAUGAUAAAAAGUUAGUGAAUAGGAAGUAAAAACCCUAGUACGUGUGAUUUAAGGAAAAACGUUGCGAACGACGGGUACCGUGCACUACCGAUUGAAUGCACCACUUGAUCACCACUUUCUUACCACAUGAGCUCAUUAAUAUUUGAGCAAAAUAUCUCCUAAUUUUCAGCUGGCUUUGACCAAAAUUGGUGGCCAAAAAUGCAAGGGAAAGAGAGAGAAAAUUGUAUGGCUUUGGUGGUGACAAGUCCCUAUGGCUCUUUGGUUGAUUUUUUUCCUUGCCUUCUUAUCAUCAUGGAGCAGCCCUUCUUCCUCAUUUUUUUUGCUGUUUGGCCGAGAGAGAGAGAGAGAAAAAUCCAAGAGAGAGCUUCACCAUUUCAUCUUGAAAUUUGAUCAUCCAAGUGAGGAACUAAAAUUCUAAACCGAUGAAAGUGUGAGUUGUGGGCUUGAGAAGCUAGGGGAAACAGAAUUCCAAGAGGAGGUGAAGUAUUACUCUUGCAAGCUUCAUUUAUUGAGGUAUAAGGCUAAACCAUGGCUUUGGUUCUUUUAUUGUGGUUUAAGUUGUUGUAUAAUUCAUGUUGUGGUUGGAUUAGUAGUGAAACAAGUUGUUAUGAUGAGUUAAAGGUGGUAUAUGUGAGUUAGGGUUUGAGGUAUUUGCUGCCUAUACUUGCUAUAUGGAUGAUAUAUGUUGUAUCUAAGCUUAUAUAAGUGGUUGUAGUGAUGAUUGGAGCAAGAAAUCAAGAAAGGUUGCAUUGAAAACGAAAAAUUCCAGAUUUCUGGAAAAUUUUAGCCCAUUCUGUCCGGUUUUAUUUCAUCAUGUUAGAGGCCAAAUUAGGCUUAGCACAAAACAUGAAAGUUAUAUAUAAUGGUAUUUUAUAGUUUCCUACAAAAUUUCAGCUCAAUCGGAGCAACAUAUCCUGUGAAAAGACCAAAAUACCCUCACUGCCCUAGGUUAAAUUCCAGUAUUCGGCGUGGACAGUUCAGUCUAUUUUUCUGUGUUUAUUCACUAUGAUCCGUUCAGAUUUAGCCAUUUUCCAAAACAUAAAGUUUUAGUACUCUGUCUUAGCUUUCUAACGCCUCUAAGAACGCCUUAAACGGACUUUGGUAGCCUGAGAUAUGGGCAUUUAAGGGUAGUAUAGUUAAUUAGCCGACUAAUUGGAAUUUGGUUCUGUAAACUGGGAAUUUGACUAGGUUGCACUGGAAAUUUGACUAAGUGAUCUUCAUGAAAAUUGUAGGCGUUCGUCUUAGCUUCGAAACGGUAUAAGUUGUAGCCCAAUCCAAUAAGCGUAGCUGCAGUUGUGUUCAUUACGCAAAACAACGUCAAAUCUGUCUUUUGUUUUCUGACUUAAACUUCAUUUCCGGACUUUUCCUAGCUUGAAUUUGUACUUGUACCACUUUGAGCCUAUGGAACGGCUAUUGAAAUGAGAUUAUUUUGUGUGUGCUGUUUUGAAUGGAUAUUGGUGAUUGUUGUAGGAUGGAAAUAAGGAAAUUUAAGGGGAAGUGUUGUCCAAUCUUUGAGGACAUUCAAUCGUUUUGAGUUUGGGUUAAUUCUUGGUAGAAUGAAGAGUUUGGACUUGAUCGAGGAAACUGUCUAUGAUGGAUGAGGUUCAUGAGCCGUGGUUGGUGAGUGAUCCCUCCACUACUUCCCAAAAAGUUGCUUUUGAAAUGAUUCCUGCAUUGAUUGCACGAUUGCAUAUCAUUGUGUUUGUGUGUGUGCCAUGACAUUUUGGCUUCGACGAGUUCUUGGAAAAUUCUUGUGCUUAGAACCAACGUCUCCACUCCCGUUUACGCAUUCUUUGGAGCACGAUGGCUCCUUAUUUCUGUAUAUCUGUUACUUGAUCUAAGGGAGCAUUGGAUAUUUAAGUGCAAGGAUUUCACUGGCUCACAAGAGCAAACUCCAUCCAUUUGAUCACGGAUUCAUGACAUCAUUUACCUGCACUAUCGUAAAGCGUAUUGGAUUACUAAUUUUACUGUUCACUCGCUGAGCUUCUAGCUUACCCCAAAUGUUUUUCUUCUCCCCACAGGGACCGAGGCAAGGAAAGAGCUUGUAGUACGUUAGUUGUGUGAUUGGAUGGCGUAUAUCUUGUACAGUUUGGAUUUGGACUCAUUUUAGGUAAUAGUUGGGCUAGUGUGACUGUUUGGAUUUGAAGUGGAUGUAUGUGUACGUUCCACGCCUAGAAUUAGUUUUCGCUUCGCUUAUUAUAUGUAAUUCUUGGGAUAUUUGAUGUAAAUUUGAGAUUCAUCUUGUAAUUUAAUUGAGGACUGUAGUGAACAACUGAAUCCCGGCGAGAGCUGGGCAGGCGGCCCACCGAACCCUUUGGUUCACCUUAGGGAGAGGUGGGGCCGUCACAAGAUCAAAACUUUUGGAUCUCUUUUCUUUGUUUUUAUUCUUUUUUGGCUUGGAAACAAGAUGUAACCGCGACUGAUUUGGGCAAUAAACUUCAAGUUUUCUUUUCUUUCUUUUCUUUUCGUUUCUGUUUUUUUUUUACUUAUACGAACAACACAACACAAACUUGGCCGAAUGUGUGACGACCCCACCUCCCCCUGAGGCGUACCAAAGGGUUUGGCGGACCGCCUGCCCAGCUCUCGCCAGGACUCACUCACUCAAAUCAUACACACAUCCAUGGACCAUAAAUAACAUCCACAAUUCAAGCUUAUAAUUUACAUUGAUAGAGAUCAGGGUACAAAAUCUCGAUAUACUUAAACUAGUUCAAAACAUAUACAAUCCAAAUACAAAAUGUUCCAUUCGAGGAAUAGCGCGAGUACAAGUCAAAAGUUAAAAGUCAAACAACUAGACUACGCUAGUCUUUACAUAUCUCACGCCUCGCUCGUACCCUUGUAAGGAAAACAAAUAACGUGGUAUGAGCUAAAAGCCCAGUGAGGUUCCAAAUAGCAAAUUGACCAUUAUUUAUAAGUACAAGUUUUCGAUAUAGCAAAGUAAGGAGCAUGAAGAGUUCAUAAAUGUGAGCAAUAACACGUCAAGUAGAAAUCUCAAAAUGAGCGAGUGUAAAAGUUUUUCAAAAUCAACAAUAAUCCAAUAAGCAAUAAUCAAUCCAAAGCAUAAGGAUACGGAUGGCCCUCAGGAGCCAACUUCCAUUCAUCAUCAGGAGCUUGAUCACGUAGUAGUUGACACUCCGUCAACUUUCAAGUAAAGGAACCAAUCCAGUAGAGCACCACUUACACGACUCUCCGUCCACCAUUCACACCCCCUACUGGGCCCAAAAUCCUCAAUAAACAUGGGUGGUAAUACUCGAGUAUACCGAUUAGCCGAGAGGUAUCACUCCACUCGACAAAAUAAGAGACCCAGGGUUCGUUACCCAAUCGACCAAGCCCUUGCCGGCUCGACUAGAGUAACUCGCCACAGGGUUUCUGGAAUUCCAGGAAGUGCGCACAUCAAGUAUAUCAAGUCAAUUGCAAUCAAUAAACAAGUAUAUCACGUAAGGGCAAGUGCGAUAAAGUACACUCUUGCCCUGUCAAUUCACGUAUAUAACAAGUACUCAUAUUGGUCACGUAUCCAGUUCAAGUAUCUAGUGCAAUUCAGUAUUUGAAAGCACUCACCACAAGAUAUAGUGCCUUUACUGGUCACUUUCAGGUUAUACUCCGAGUUCGGAGUCCAAAUCUGCGAUAAAACUCAAUUUGAGAACUUUGAAACAUGACUAGAGUUCGAAACUUAGACGUUUCGUUCAAUAAGAAUCAAGAAAUUGAAAUUCACUUGGACAGUAGUCGUGAAACACUUGCUCGCCUUUUUAAACAGUAAAACUUUGUAAUAUUUAUACUUGAAAUUGUCUUGCGAGUUGAAAGUACAAGGAAAACAUACUUUGAGCAAUCAUUAUUUCAUUUCUCAAGGGUACAAGUUCGUCCAAGUCCUAAUGUAUAACACUCAAGAAACAUAGUGGCCAAGGUUCUCGCUAGUUCAAGUAAUAAGUACUUAACCUUCACUCAAGUCGCUAAUAUAGUUUUCUAGUCCUCGAGUAAAAAUUCGGGCAGCAUGCCCUUUGUGUUUACCUAAUUUUCCAGCCUUUUAGGCUUCAUUGUUUUUCUCAAACACAACCCAACAUUAUACAUAUCAGCAAUUCAUGUCAAGAGCCGUUCCAUAGGCUCACAAUAUCAUAAUAACAAGAAUCGUAUUAAGUACAAGUGCAGAAAUUCAAUUUAGUUCAAAACAGAUUUGACGUACAAAUGCGGAAAUAACAUAUCGCGAGGUUACGCUUAUCGAUUAAAACGAAACCUAUGCCGUUUCGAAGCUAAGACACAGAUCUACAACAUUCAUGAAGGUCACUUAGUCCAGUUCCUAAUGUAACUCAGUCAAAUUCUCGAAUUACUAAACCAGAAACCAAUUCGUCGGCUGUUUAAACGCAGAACACUGUAAUGGUCAUAACUCAGUGUACAAAAGUCCAAUUCAGGUGUUCUUUGAGGCAUUUUAAAGCUACUUCAGAACACUACAACUUUCAUGUUUUGGCCCAGAGGUAAAUCAGUACGACUCCCAGUCAAAAAACGUGAUAAACUGGACUUAACUGAUGAAACGGACUGCUGGGAAAUAUUUAAAACAGUAAGGGUAUUUUGGACUAUUCACAUCCUAUGUUGCUCUGAUUGAGCUGAAAUUUUGUAGGCACCUAUAAAAUGUCAUUAUCUACAACUUUUCUUCUUUGACCUAAGGCCAAAUCAGCAUCUAACACACAGAUACAAAUUCGGACAGAAUGUAAGCAAGAAUUUCCAGAAAUCUGAAAUCUUUAGUUUUUAGUGGAACUUUCCUAAAUUUCUUGGUCUAAUCACUACCACAACACCUUAUGAAACCUCAAUUGCAACAUAUAAGCAUCUUACAACAAUUUGGGCAGAAUUUCCAUAAGCCCUAGUUCAUCAAAUAAAUUGGGGAAAAACCUCUAAAACAUGCUAAUCAUCCAUGAUUCCACCACUAUAAUCAACUACUAAACUUAAUUUAACAAAAUUGAAAGCAAAACUUAGAGAGAUAAGCUCUCUUACCUUGAAUAGAGGACACAAAGAGUAGCCCAAGCUUUCUCUUUCCAAAAUUUCACCACAAAUCACUAACUAAACACUCAAAGGUGAGUUUAAUCGGUUUAUUUCCUUAGUUUUCUCACUUUGUAGCUAGAAAUCAAGAAGAAAUGAAGAAGUUUUUCUCUUGGUCUUUCCCUCUCUCUCUUAUUUCGGUUAUGGAGCAGAAAAAUGAAGGAAAUGGAGCUUAACUUGUCUUAUAAGGAAGUAAGAAGAUUAAGGCUAAUUGUGUCCACAAUUUUUGGCCAACACUUGGACUAAUCUUGUCCACAAAUUUUUCUCUUUCUUCCCUUACAUUUCUAGCCUUAUAAUUUCGGUCAAACCAGCUGCAAAUUAGGAAGAUAUUUUGUGCAAAAGUCAAUAAGCUUGUUUGGUAAGAAAAAUGGUGGUCAAGCGGUGCGUUCAAUCGGUAGUGCGCGGGACCCGCCGGUUCGCGCCGUUUUUCUUAAAAACUCACGUACUAGGUUUUUUUUUUUCUUCCCAUUCACUAUCCUUAUAUCGUUGCUACUACUCACACAUUAUUUUUCACUUCAAAGUCACUUUUAAUCCCCAAAUUGAUCCCUGGCCAGUACCGAAAAUUUAUCCGGCGGAAAUCGCGAAAACCCUAAUUUUGCUCAAAUCUUGAAACCGAAGUGUAAAACCCUAUUUUCCAGGUUCAUCUGCACUUAUUGUUGAACAAUUGGGUAGUAGGGCUUUAAUAAAUAAUAAUUUUCAAAUAAAAGGAAAUUUUUAAGAAAACGUGAGGAAUUUUCCAAUUCCAAUGAUUAAAUUUAAGGUUUCAAUCAAAAUGUGAGAGAUUUAAGAGAACCGGUUAGUCACAAGUAAACUAGGGUUUUUGACUAAAAUAUUAGGGUUUCUAGUCUUUUAAAACAAAAUAAGGUUUUAAAUCAAACCCGAAGAAAUAUACUUUAAUAUUUUCUUCACAAACAACCUCCUAAUAUUCAGGAUGUUACAGAAUGCAUUAAUUUCCAGGUUUGGUUCGGCCAAUCAUGCACACAAGAAACUACCAAGAACUUCAAAAUCUUUCAAAAACUUUCAAGGAAGUUAUCAAGAACUUCAAAAAUUUCAAGAUUGUGAUCAAGAAAUUCAAGAACCUCAAGAUUAUCGUAGGUUCUCUCAAGAUUCACAAAUACCAACAAGGUUCACCAAAAUUCAGUUUUGAAAACCAAGUAUACAAGUCAGAUAACUCAAGAACAAGGGUGCACAGAUUUGAGACGCGACAAUAAGCAACUUCGGACAGAAAUUGAAUGCCAAAAAGGAUGGAACACUACAUGAUGCACUUGGACAGACUUGUAACAACGAGGAAGUGAUUAACGACGCAAUGCACAACAACACACAACGAACAGAAUUUCUGGAUAGAUUGUGACUCAAGAACAAAGCAGCGUUAGACGAGACAAAGAGAAUAAGAACCCUAGUUGCCACCACCAAUUUUUUUGUUUUUCUUGCUGGACACGACACGGCCAGCCAACACACAUAGCGGUGAAUUCUAAAACAGAAUUUUAGACACAAACACCAUGAAAAAUCUGGGCAGAAACUUCGAACGACGAGGCACCACUUGGUUAGCAACUUCCAAGCCUUCAGUGUUCUUAUAGACCCUUUGUUGGUCUUGCACAUUUCGAACAAGGACUUGAAGAGACCCCUUGAAGCGCUUGGCCCAUGCACGUGUAACUGGGUCCAAUGGAACUUGCACUUGUUCAUCUCCAUCUCUAUUCGUGCACACAUCACCCCAACUCUCUCCACCCAGUUUUCUGUCAAUUGCUACCUUCAACAGGAUGCCUACUCUCUUCCCUCAGUUUUGUUUUGUGCUGCUAAUUCAAAAUUUUAACUUGAUUUUCAAAAUUUCAACUCUUCCGUUUGGCCGUCUGAUCCCGUUUAGGCUAAACAUUUUUUUUAAUAGCGUCAUUUUUUACCCCUGCUUAAGGCUUCCUAACGGGGAUCAUUUCUCGCCUCACAUUUGUGCUUGUGAGUAGACCGCUCAGGAACGGUCGGUCUGGUGACCGCUCCUACCUCGUAUCCCUUUAGUAGAUACCACUGACAUUUCAAAGAUAGUUCAAAAAUUAUUUGAAUUGUUAGAUGGUAUUAUGGAAAUAAUUGGAGAGGAUAAUGUUGUGUAGGUCAUCACUAAUAAUGCUUCCAAUAAUAAGGUAGGUGAAAAAAUAUUGUUGGAAAAGAGAAAAAUAAUGUUUUGGACCCCUUGUGCUGCUCAUUGCAUUAAUCUCAUGUUAGAAGAUUUUCAAAAUUUUGAUUCUCUCAAUAAAAGCACUAUAGAAAAAGCGAAAUCAGUGGUUACAUAUAUUUACUUAUGGAGUAUAGUUAUUGACUAGAUGAAACAAUUCACAAAUGGUUAGAAGUUGAUUAGACUUGGAGUUACUUGCUUUGCUAUUUCAUACUUGACCAUGAGACAUCCAAGUUAGUUCAAAGGUAGCUCGUUUAUAUUUUUUCUCUUCGGAUUAGUGGAAGGCAAGUGUGUAUAUGCUAGGAGAAAAAAGGGGGAAAAUUGAAAGCACCACUAUUUAUAAUCAACAAUUCUAGUUUGACCUCUCAUCAAAGUAUUGAGGAUGGUGGAUUCUAAUGGGAAACCUACCAUGUGCUUUCCCUAUAAAGCAAUUGAUCAGGUAAAAGAAGAAUUCAAAGAAAAUGUGAACAAUGUUCAAAAGAGGUAAAUUUUAAAUAAGCUGCCGUAUUAAUUAUGCAUUCAUUUAUAUUUUCUACGCUGGAUAUUAGAAUGAUUUUCUUUUAGUUAUUCUCAUACUAAACUCAUGUUUAUAUGGUAGAUAUAAACUAGCUGUAGACACUAAAUUUUUGUCAUUUUUUGAUAUUUUCUUAAAAUUUUAUCUUUUUGGCAUUAAUUUUCAUGUAUUCUAUCAUGCAUUUUUUUAUUUUUGCAGGUUUAUCUAAAAAAGAGAAAAAGAAAGAAAAAAUAAAAAAAGACGAGAAAUCAAGAAAAGAAAAUUCACUCUUCAAUCCUUUUUUUCCCACCUAAUAUACUAUUACCCAAUACUACACCUCACCCCCAUUACCCUCUUUUUCUUUUGGUAUCAAAAAAAAAAUUCAAUGGUCACAAUCACUCCAACAACUCCACCAAUUCCCCUCUCCCUCAACUCUAUCUCAAUUUCAUCAUCACACACUCACACACACAAGCCCUCUCUCUUGGAUAAAAAAAAAAUUCUCACACAAUACACCCACACACAAGAACAAGCACAACUUUCUUUCCUCCUCUUAGACUCUACACUUGCACACCAACACAAACACACACAUCACUCCAUUCUUUCCUUCUCUCUAGGUUCACACAUGGAACAAAAAAAAAAGGACCCAAGGGAGUAGAGGAAGAAAGUUGUUGCUACAGGAGCCAUUGCCGCCAUUGAGCUCAUCCAACUCACAAGAAAGGAUUGUAAAAUUUUCAACUCUCUCUUUUCAAUUUCUAAUAUAAAUGGCAUGCAUCAUGUAGUUUUCUUUUCACUUGAUACUUAUGCAUAUUUGGAUGAAGCUUGAAGCCUGAUAAAUGAGUGUCUGGGUUUUUUCUUUGAUUCAUGUCUCAUGAUGUUAAGGGUGAGGUUUGGUGGGAUCAUCAGCCAUACAAGAGUGAUUUGGGGAAGAAUCAGAGAAAAAAAAGAGAGAGAGAAAAUUCUCUGGAAAAAUAAGAGAAAACAGAGGCUGAUGAACCAGCCCUAUUCAAGCCUAAAUAUCUCUUUCAUGACUCAUCAUUUUAGGGAGAUUCUUUUGCUACACUUUCACAAGUCAUCGAAGAGUAACUUUUCUGUUGAAGGUUUCUAAGGAAAACCACUCUAAAGCUGUUCAAAUUCUUGUUCAAAUCACCCAUUUCUCAGCUCUUGAAAUUCGAAGUUCUUCAUCCCAACAGAGAGGAAUUCCACGAAUCUUGAAUUUCAGCAAUCCACCACUAUCUAGUUCAACUUAAAACUCUUAGAGGAGUUGUAGAUAACCUUGACUGAUCAACUCUUUUCAUUUUAUAUCAUAGUUGACUAAUUUCUUAGAAUUUUCUCCCAUUCUUGGUUGACAAUAGUGAUUUUUUUUGGGGAUGUUUUGCCCUGAAAUUUUACAUGAGUCUUGUCGUUUUAAGCUUGUAAAGAUGUAGAACAAGAGUUUCUGCAAUUUGUUUGUUGAGUUAUGUGAAGUAGUAGGAGGUUGAAAAUGGGUUGUUCUUAAACUAUUUCUUGUUUUGUGCAAGAUAUGAUGAUUUCGGGUUACUUUUGAUGUUAUAAGCAUUUAUAGAAUGAUGACAUGAGUUGAUUUAUGUAAAGAGUUGGGCUAUGAGGCCACAAGAAAAAUUAACAAAGGAUAGCAAAGAAUUUGGAAUCAACAAAAAAAUUGGGGUAGAAAAAAAGAAACUGCAAAGUUCAGGGACUAAGAGUGCGUUUGAUAAAAUUGAAGUCUAAAAAUUGAAGUUUGAAACCUGAAAUCUGAAAUAUGAAUCCAUUAAAUUAUUGAAUUGUUAAAUAUUAAAUCUAAUAUAUUUGAAUGUGUGACAGCCCCACCUUCCCCUAAGGCGAACCAAAGGGUUCGGCGGGUCGCCUGCCCGGCUCUCACCGGGACUCAGUCGUUCACUACAGUCCUCAAUUAAAUUGCAAUGUAAAUCUCCAAAUUCUCCAAAAAUUACAAAUCCUAAGCGAAGCGGAAACUAAUUCCAAGCGUGGGACGUAUACUUACAUCCAUUUCAAUUCCAAGCAGUCACACCAGCCCAACUAUUACAUAAAAUAAAUCCAAAAUAAAUUGUACAAUAUAUGCCAUCCAGUCACGUGAAUAAGUACUAUAGCCUUUCCUUCGCCUUGAGCCCUGUGGAGGGGAAUAAAACAUUUUUGGGGUGAGCUAAAAGCUCAGUGAGUAACCAGUAAAAUCAGUACUCAAAUAUAUUUCAAGAUAAAGCAUUUCAAUGAUGUCAUGAUUCAGAGAUCGAAUGUACAUUUAUUGCUCUCGUGAGCCAGUGAAAUCAUUGCACUUAACAUCCAACGCUCAAACAGAUCCAGUAACAGUAAACAGUGAGAGAGGGGCCAUUUGCUCCAGAUGAACAGUACACAGAGGAGGAGACGUUGGUGUUCAGCACACGACUCCCCAAGAACUCAUUAAAACCAAAUAAUGUCAUGAAACACAUGCAAGCACGCAUGAUAUGCAAUCGAGUAAAUAAUGCAGGAAACGGUUCAUAAGUAACUUUAGAAACAAUUUAGGGUCACUCACCUCCACCGCUCAGAAACCACCCAUCAUAUAUCAUUACCUUGUCCGAAUCUGAGCCCUAAAUCACAAACUCAAAGCAAUCAUACAUUCUCAAAGUUCGGACAGCAUUUCCCCAUAAAUGCUUCAUUUCCAACCUACAAUAUAUUACCAAAUCAUCUCAAGUCAAAUACAAUCUCACAUACAACACAUGGCGAUAAAACACCUUUCGGCGUAACAACCACAACUGAAGUUACACUUAUCGGAUUGAGGUGAACUUUACACCAUUUUGAAGCUAAGACAAAGACCUACAACUUUUAUGAAGACAACUCAUUCCAGUUCUCACCCUAACUAGGUCGAAUUUACCAAAACAUCCCCAGAUUUUCCAAUUCAAAGUUUACUGUGGCAGUCCUAAUUCAUUUAGUCAUAUCUCAGCACACACAACUCCAAAUCAGGUAAUUCCAAAGCCAUUUGAAAGCUAAGAUACAAGGAUAUAAUUCUUAAGAAAACAUCAACAACCAAAUCAGUAGUAUUCCUGGUCAAAAUAACCAAUUACAGAAGCGGAUUAGCAGGUUCGGACAUAAACAGGGCAUCAGGGGUAUUUUGGUCUUUUCAUAGGUUACGUUGCUCCGAUUGAGCUGAAAUUUUGUAGGCAACUAUAAAACAUCAUCCUCUACAACUUUUACGUUUUGAGCUAAGGCCAAUUCGGCCUCUAGCUAGGUGCUACAGUGCCGGCAGAAUUGGGGAAAAUGAAACCCUAAUCUGGAAAUUUUUGCAUUCAAGUGCUAAUCUUCCACUAAAACAUCUCUUUAGCCAUCACAAGUCAUUAAUCUAACAAAAUCAAGAACAAAGCAAGGAGGCUAGACAUGAUACCUUGAAAUAUCAAGAAAGGUGAUGGCUUAGAAUUUUUCUUCUUCUAAAACUUCACCAAAAGCUUCUCUCAAACCUUACCUCAAGAUUGAUCGGUGUAGAUUAGGAUUUUUCGUUGGAUUUUUCAUGAUUUAAGCAAGAGAUCAAGGCUGAAUGUUUUUUGUUUUCUCUCCCUUUUCUCUCUCAAAAUUUUGUCCAUCAUGCUUACAAGAAGAAGAAAUGAUGAAAACAAAAGGUUUGGUCAAGAUAAGAAGAAGAAAUCAUGGUCUUGGUCAAAGGUCCAACUUGCAAUAGGGUCAUGACACUUGGCACCUUCUUAAGUUAACACUUAUCCUUUUGUCUCUCCAAUAAUAAUCCAUCUAAGCAACUUCUAAUUAUCUCUUAACACCUUAUAAAAUAAUAAUAUUUAACACAAAAAUCACUUAAUCACCAAAAUUUUAUCACACUAGCGAGUCCCACGUCCAGUAUAAGCUCUUAAUUUCUCAAAACCUAACCGAUACUAGAAAAAUCAUCUUAAACUAUAUUGACUCAUAAAAAUUUAUCUGGGAAAAUUUUCUAACAAAGAAAAUGUAGAAAAGGCGGGCGAUUAAAAAAAAUAAACCCUAGAAACUUAGAAAAUUUUCGGGUUCUGGCACUCAUUCUUUCGGGGCGUCACAGAAUGUAUAUCACAUUCAGUGAUAAAGUGAAUAGUUUAUUACUUAUUUUUAAGAGCAAGUUUUGUCUAGAAAAUUUAGUACCACUUAAUUAAUUCAGAUAUUUAAUUUUAGAUUGUCAAAUAGUCGAAUAUAUUAAAAUUUGAAUCCAUUAAGUUUAAAUGGUAGAUUGAAUUAUUCAACAGGACCUAAGUAUUAACAAAUUUGUUAUCUUUCUUUCUUCUCAAUCUUUACACUUCGGGUUUGCGUGUAUUAAUCUUUUUUUUCGAUAUGAUAGAUUAUCCUACGUUAGGAGGAGCGAGAGGACCUUAAAAGGUUCAAAAAUAACUUGGAAGGUACUGAACCACCACCAAACCAGAUGAUCACUGCUUCAAUUUUCGCUCUUUUUUCUUUGACGAUGGCACAACUGUGGUGGCUAACAUCAAUUUUCUGCGAUUAACACGAACUAGAGGAUCCUUAAUUCACACUACCACAAAAUAAAAUGAACUUUUAUCCAUAGCUAGUAUUCUACAUGAGUUCUAUUCUGGGCAAAGCUAACAUACUCAAUUUCCCAUCGCAGAGAACACUAGUGCCAGAUUAACUAGCGGAUUGUGAUACAUUUAGCAGUACAAUAUUAUCAAUUAUUUCCUGACUUUCAUUGUUUAAGAUUCAUGAGAAAUUUACCUCCACUUCAAUCCUUUUCCAAUUUACCCAACUAUCCAGAGUUAACAGAUUCAGAAGUAGAACUCAGCCACCAAAAAUAAAAAACAAAUUAAAGAAAGCCAUUCAUGUCCAAUUAACAAAUGGCAUCAAGGGUGGAAUCGCAUUGAUUUUAGGUGGACUGCCUAAAAGCAAUUCGUACCAAAAAAUUCUGUUGAUAACAAUUCCAUACACAAUUUAUAAAGUCGUUACCCUGAUAUUACAAGGAAUGCUGCUCCUUGAUUUUAUAAAUUCUCGUCCAACAUAUAAUUACGCACUAAAAUCUACUCAUCAUUGCUAUAUCCUUGAAUUUGCAGCAGGAAACACAAAAGGAUAUUUCCUGUUCAAAUUUUCAGUAUAGCAAAAAGAC
rnacentral:lncRNA from 1 species